rnacentral:lncRNA from 1 species
GAGGGAAGUAGUGGGCAGUGAGGAAGACAGGGCCCCCCGCCCCCGCUGCUGUAGUCUGCUGGCAACUCACGUGUGGGCGAGGGGCGCUGGGCGCCGCGGGGUCCCGCUCGGUCCCGGCCCUCCGCCGCCCUCUCCUCGGCCCGCCCUGCCCGGGACAGCCCCCUCUUUCCCCUCUCCCCCCGGCCCCGGCCCGGGACCGUCAGGGCUCCCCCCCGUGCGGGCCCUCCGGGCAGGGGGGGCCCUCCGGGCAGGGGGGGGCCCUCCGGGCAGGGGGGGGCCCUCUGGGCAGGGGGGCCCUGGGCCAGCCGGCCUCGGCCCGCCUCACUUCUUAGCGCUGUCGCUGUGUGGAGCCACACACCGGCGGGAAGCCUCCGGCAGCGCCCCGUGCCAUCAGCCAGCCCUAUGCCAUCAUCGGCCGGCCCCGUGCCACCGGCCAGUCCUGGCCAGUCCCGGGCCACCAGCCAGCCCUAGGCCACCACCGGCCGGUCGGCCGGUCCCGGGCCACCACCGGCCGGUCCCAGGCCAUCAUCAGCCGGCCCUAGGGCAUCAGCCGGUCCCGGGCCAUCAUCAGACGGCCCUAGGCCAUCGGCGUGCCCCGUGCCAACGGCCAGGCCCGCGCAAUCAGCGCUCCCCGCGCAAUCAGCCGCCCCCGCGCCCAGCUGGAAAGGCGCAGUUCUCAAACCACCGUCAGAUCCCUGCCUUAGAGAGCUGCAAGUAGGGAGACAGGAUCAAGGAAGCAUCUGAAGGCUCUCAAAAAACAAGGUUCUUCAGUGAUUCAAGUACCCCUGAAAGAUGAUGAUCUGACUCAAACCUGCUAACCAAAAUUUGAGAUAGCCAAAUCCAAUAAAUCAGUUAUUGGACAUACUGAUCACUUUAAGUGGCUUUGAUAUAAUGCCUGUUGUGAAAUUUGUGGGUGUGAGGUCAAAACAAUCCAAAAAAAAUUUUUUCCCCACCUCCUGAAUCAAGAGUCUCCAUAUCUGAAACUGUAGAGUAGAAACAUCAAUCACAGGCUACAUCUCCACCAAUCAUGUGGCACAACUGUUCCUAAAUACAAUCAUUAUUACUAUGUGGAGCAGAGAAUCAAGUUGACACCUAGCUAAUUUAAGCCUUCCAUAGAGUUUGGGGUCAGAGAGAGAAAGGAGGGUCUAAAUUUUCCAGCUAAAUGCAGCACUUCUCUGCUUUGCUUUCAUUGAAAACUCAACUGCCACUGUUUUUUCUUCACAAACAUUUUUUAUGGUAUUCAAGUGCCUACUAUGUGCCAGACACUGAACUCAGCUCUGGGAUGGAUACAACCCAAUUAGGUUGAACACAAUCUAUGUCACAUACGGGGCUCACAGUCUUAAUCCCCAUUUUAUGGAUGACGUAACUGAGGGACAGAGAAGAUCAGUGACUUCACAGCAGACAAGUGGCGGAGCCAGGAUUAAAACCCAGAUGCUUCUGACUUCCAGGCCCGUGCUGCGUCCAAUAGGCAAUACUGCUUCUUGUGCCCUUUAUUAUUAUUACUUCCUUUAUCUAGCAGGUAGUGAGCACACUGUCAAUCACAUUUAUUGAGUGCUUAGUGUGUGCAGAACACUGCACUAAGCACUCGGAAGAGUACGAUAUAAGAAUAAACGGACACAUUCCCUGCCCACAACAAGCUAGAUUUUGUUACUGUUGGAUGAAAUAGAG